UACGGAGGGGGCUAGCGUUGUUCGGAAUUACUGGGCGUAAAGCGCACGUAGGCGGCUUUGUAAGUUAGAGGUGAAAGCCCGGGGCUCAACUCCGGAAUUGCCUUUAAGACUGCAUCGCUAGAAUUGUGGAGAGGUAAGUGGAAUUCCGAGCGUAGAGGUGAAAUUCGUAGAUAUUCGGAAGAACACCAGUGGCGAAGGCGACUUACUGGACACAUAUUGACGCUGAGGUGCGAAAGCGUGGGGAGCAAACAGG
rnacentral:rRNA from 1 species